rnacentral:sRNA from 1 species
CCCUAGCCCAGAUUGAAGCGCCAUCCUUUUUAUUUGGUGGCUGAGCGUAGUCGAAGUCAGCAAAUAAAAAGAUAUAGCGGAAAGCUGGAAAUAGC